AGUGAGCGCUGGCGGUAGGCCUAACACAUGCAAGUCGAACGGCAGCACAGUAAGAGCUUGCUCUUACGGGUGGCGAGUGGCGGACGGGUGAGGAAUACAUCGGAAUCUACUUUUUCGUGGGGGAUAACGUAGGGAAACUUACGCUAAUACCGCAUACGGCCUACGGGUGAAAGCAGGGGAUCUUCGGACCUUGCGCGAUUGAAUGGGCCGAUGUCGGAUUAGCUAGUUGGCGGGGUAAAGGCCCACCAAGGCGACGAUCCGUAGCUGGUCUGAGAGGAUGAUCAGCCACACUGGAACUGAGACACGGUCCAGACUCCUACGGGAGGCAGCAGUGGGGAAUAUUGGACAAUGGGCGCAAGCCUGAUCCAGCCAUACCGCGUGGGUGAAGAAGGCCUUCGGGUGGUAAAGCCCUUUUGUUGGGAAAGAAAAGCAGCAGGUUAAUACCCCGCUGUUCUGACGGUACCCAAAGAAUAAGCACCGGCUAACUUCGU
rnacentral:rRNA from 1 species